ensembl:lncRNA
CAUGUGGUAUAGCAUAGUUUUGUAGCUUAAACAUACUUGGCAAAUCCUGCUCAAAUUGCCGCCACCCACUACAGACAUAGCCAACUAACAUUGAGCAAAUACUUCCAACUGUCUUCAUAAUAGGGCAGAGGUCAUUCCAAUAGGAAAACAGGGGCUUCAGAUGGUAUUUCCUCCAUGCCAGCUAAUUACAACCAUAUGCUUUCUCUGACAGAAAAGGAGGUAUAUAUAAAAUCUGGAGAGGUCGAAGUUCUCCAUUUUCUGAAUCACAGAUCCCAGAGAGGAUCCAUAUGAUCAAGUUGCAGCACACCACUGAGAAGAGCCUUGCCUCAUCAGCUUAACUCCUGCACUUCAGAUAUUUAUAAACAGUGAUGACAUCCCCUCUCAAACAAAAUAUUUUCUGGACAGAUAUGUUUAUGCUACUUAUCAGUCUCUUGAGGAAACAACAGCAUUUACUUCUGAGGAUCAUGUGGGACCAAGACUGAAGCCCCUUUGAAUAUAACCACUUCAAGCUUCUUCCAAACCCAAGCCAAAGAAAAUGCUUGAACUACAAGCAGCUGGCUUUAAGAACAAACUUUAUUCUGGACUUGAGCUAUCUCAGCAAAGUGUACACCGAAAGCUUUUGCUUAACCUAGGAAACUUUUAUUUUUAAGUGGAAUUGUAGUAGCAUUAAAAGCGUAAAAGUGAGUGAAAUAUAAACAGGUACAGAGAAACUAAGCACUAUGCUGUAGAGUGAAGGGUAAAUAGAUUUCUAGCAGAAUCAGAGUUUAGUUUUUUGGCCAUAGCAGUUUUUCUGCAGCUCUGGAUUACCCUUAAUUUCUCAAAAUAAAUAUUGGGACAGUUGUAAUGGAUAUAGAUAAGUUAAAGGAAAAAAAGUAUUUUCUCUUUGACUGAAAGAACUUUAUAUAGGUGAACAGUUUAGAAAGUUUCACUAAAGAAUUUAAACAUGAAUAUUUGCACUUCUUUAUUAUUCAUCUAAAAAUGAAAGUCCCUGCAUAUUUUUUUUUACCACUUCUAAGAAGAAAGUUUCUGCAUCCACAUCUCAGUCAGAGGCCACAAUUUUUAAUGGCCUCUGAGUCAACAAUUUGAUUCCAUUAAAAUUGUAUGAUAGACUCAGGUGGUGGUAUGAUUACUGUCAUUUUCUGUAAAUGAUGAUGCAGACAGUAACAUGCUCCCUUGUGCUAGCUGAAGAUCCAGCAUAGGAUGUUUCUAUGUCUAUUAUUUCUUUACUAAAAAUAUUUUUUGUUUCUUAGUGUUUUUAAUUUACUGGAUAUAUUCUGUUUGAAUUGAAGUGGGCUGAGGAGAGACUUGCCUUGCUACUGGCAAGGUUCACUAUCAUUCCUGGAUGCAGAUGGGCCAAACCCAGAACUUUGUUUCCAAAUCUUUCAAAUAUCAGGGAGAAAGGAUCAGACGUAAACACUCAGUUCUAAACCCAUCACUGCAGCUUUGAUCCCGGGUCAAAUCCAAAAUUAGAAGGGGCCUCUUUUAUAGCUCUAAUUUGGAUGCAACCAAAACGUUUUCAUCAGAUUGUGCUCCAAGAAGGAAGAAAGUGUAUGCGAGUUUGCCACUGCUAUGCAUAAAGGCAGGCCUGAAAUCCAACCUUAAUUUUGCCUCAAAGUCAAACUUUAAGCCGUACCCCAAAUUAAUGCAGGUUUGAGUCUGAUUUUCUUAUUCUACCUGAAUCCAUUUUUUAUAAAAAUAUGUUUCUGAAAAAUAACUUUUUUUUUGUAAUGCACUAGGUUAUAUCUAAUGGCAAAUACUUCCAAAAAAUGUAUGUUGAAAUGCUGCAUGAGAUGCAUGUAUGUUAAAGUUCAUUCUUACUCAUCCAUAAAGUUCUCAGUUUGAACAAUGGUUAUGUAACUGAAACCAAAAUAAUAAAAAGAAAAGAGAAAAAAAACAAAAGAUAGACAUUUAAGUUUUCUCCACUUUGUUGGGAGAGCUCCAGAAAUCAAAAACAAAUGAGGGAGAAGCAGCAGCAGAGACCACCAGCAAACAGCAGCUGUGAUGUGAAGCAUCAGGACAAAACCACUCACAAGAAGAAAAAGGUCUGCUCCUCUCUAGCAGAAGUUUGUGGAAACAUGAAAGCAAAGACAACUAGCAAACAUUUCCAGCAAAGGAAAGUUUCAAUCCAAAAGCAGUGAAUAACUACAAAAAGAUUAAGAAAAAUCCAGCUUUGUGACAGAAAUGACCAGUAAUGUUUCAUUUAACUUUCUGGAAGGUUAGAUCUGGGAGAAGGGAUGAGGGUAAAACGAACAUAUUUUAAUCACACUGAGUUUUUGUACAGAUAAACAUUUUAGUAGUAUUCCCCAGUGAGAAUACUUUCCAUAAACCAGAAUAAAACUGAGCUAGUCAGGCUUUUUUUUCCUCAGGGUGGUAAAUAAGGAUAAUAAUGGCAGUGCAACCUAAUGGGGGACAGUUUUUCAGUAAUGCUUCUUUUUCUGAAGAAAAGUUAAUCACCUAAAUACAAAAAUAUUUUUAUAAGUCAUAUAUGAACCAAUUGAUAUGUAAGAAUUAUAAAGGAUGGACUAGGAAGAAGAAACUUUUGUAACUGGUGGAAACUGAGGAUAGCUACUAGGAAGCCUUGUCUUGCUUUUUUUUUUUUUUUCCCUAUUUUUAAGUGCAUACAAUUAACUGAUAGAUUAAAGGAACAUUAUUAACAAUACUUGCGUUAAGAGCAUAGAAAGAUGAAUUUGUACAAAAUGAUUUUGCAAAAAAUAAAUUGCCUUCUAAUGAAGCUCAGUCUGCCUUUUCCUAGGCCAAGUUCCAAAUUGAGCAAUCAUAUUUUUGUAAUCACAAAGUUGGAGACUUCAUGAAGUUCUACUAAGUUCCACAAGUAGUAUGUAUGUUAUAUGGAAUGUUUGUAUAAUGGAAUAUCAUGUAACAUUUUCUGAUUAACAAUAAUCACUUAUUUAUCGUUCAACAGAUUGUAGUUUCCCUUCCAGAUUUACCCCAUGAAAAAAAUAAAGGAUCCCUAUGACCUCAAAUUCAG